ensembl:snoRNA SNORA73 Small nucleolar RNA SNORA73 family
CCAGCAUGGAUACUCAAGAGGGUGAGUCUCCCUGGGCUCUGUCCAGGUGGUAUAGGGGAGCAUAGGACUCUGCCCCAUGAUGUACAGUUCCUUUCCAUAACAUUGGAGAUGUACCUGGCCUUUGUGUCUGUGCCUGCAUAUUUCUACAACUUCUCAAGAGUCUUGUGGACUAUGACUGAAGAGACGAACCAUGCAGGAAACAAUA